GAGGGUGUAGCUCAGGGGUAGAAUGCAUGCCCAGCAUGCAUGAGGUCCUGGGUUAAAUCCCCAGUACCUCCC
rnacentral:tRNA from 1 species